UACGUAGGGCGCAAGCGUUAUCCGGAAUUAUUGGGCGUAAAGAGCUCGUAGGCGGUUUGUCGCGUCUGCCGUGAAAGUCCGGGGCUCAACUCCGGAUCUGCGGUGGGUACGGGCAGACUAGAGUGAUGUAGGGGGAGACUGGAAUUCCUGGUGUAGCGGUGAAAUGCGCAGAUAUCAGGAGGAACACCGGUGGCGAAGGCGGUUCUCUGGGCAUGUUCUGACGCUGAGGAGCGAAAGUGUGGGGAGCGAACAGG
rnacentral:rRNA from 1 species